UGGGGAAUUUUGGACAAUGGGCGCAAGCCUGAUCCAGCCAUGCCGAGUGUGUGAAGAAGGCCUUUGGGUCGUAAAGCACUUUCGGACGGAACGAAAUCGCGCGAGUUAAUAGCCCGCGUGGAUGACGGUACCGUAAGAAGAAGCACCGGCUAAGUAUGUGCCAGCAGCCGCGGUAAUACGUAGGGUGCGAGCGUUAAUCGGAAUUUCUGGGCGUAAAGGGUGCGCAGGCGGCCCUGCAAGUCAGUCGUGAAAUCCCCGAGCUCAAAUUGGGAAUGGCGCUUGAAAGUACGGGGCUGGAGUGUGGCGGAGGGAGGUGGAAUUCCACGUGUAGCGGUGAAAUGCGUAGAUAUUUGGAGGAACACUGAUGGCGAAGGCAGCCUCGUGGGCCAACACUGACGGUCAUGCACGAAAGCGUGGGGAGCAAACAGGAUUAGAUACCCUGGUAGUGCACGCCCUAAACGAUGACGACUAGUUGUUGGAGGAGUUAAAUCCUUUAGUAACGAAGCUAACGCGCGAAGUCGUCCCCCUGGGGACUACGGUCGCAAGAUUA
rnacentral:rRNA from 1 species